rnacentral:lncRNA from 1 species
ACCAAUAAUCCAAUAUUUAAUCAAAAUAGGCAAAAUUACCCGAGAGCCAUAAAUACGCUCAUCAUUGCCUAACUUCGAUAAUCUUAAAUCGGAACGAUCCGAACUUAAAUAUCAUACUCAACAGUCGUAAAUACCACCUCCUCAAAAUACGACUUAAAUCCUACGGCCGGAUUCUACAUUAAUUAACCGCCAAAAAUACCAAACUUCGGAAAUUCACAAACCUAUCCAAAUCUCAUCCAAAAAUUCCAAAAUUCACCUCAAUAAUAUCCUCUUAAUAUUCUACAUCAAAAACCACAAAAUUUCCCAAAACAGCGGCGGCCGGCGACCAACUCCGGCGACCUGCAAAUGCUACCAAAUUUUAACAGAAUCUUCCUCUCAAUCUCCUCUACAACUUUCAUGACCAACACAUCACCUAAUUCCAAGCCUAACUAGGCUAAUCGAACGAAAACAACUUAAAAGCCCUAGAAAUUUCAACUCCACAUUUCUCCUUACCUAGCUCAAGAGGGAGGGAGCUGCUUGGAGGGGUUGCUGCACGGGAGGAGGGCUACAAAACCGUACCAAGCUUGCCCGGAUUGGUGGCCGGAGGAGGGAGUUCCGGCGACCGGAAGUUCGGGGCAGCCUAUCCUUUCGGGCGGCACCGCUCUCUCACGGCGGCGCUAGGGGGGCUGCUACCGGUCCUAGAAGAUAGCUGGGUCAGAGACCGAUCGAUUGGGACCGGUGCGGCGGUCUGGGGCGGCCGGACGGCGGCGGUCUGGCGGUCAGAAUUCCGAACGGCGGGAGGGCUCGGGGGAGAGAGAACCGGGAGGAGAAAAGAGGAGAAAAAGAGAAAAGAGAAAUGGGCCUCUACACCCGGCCCAACAACACUAAUAUACCCAACUCCUACAAAUAAAACACCCCGAAAAAUAAUACCCGAAUAAAAUUACCUUUUACUAGCUAAAUUUACUAUUUUACCGUCGUCAUAUUUUCCUCAUACGAAUAAUCCUCCGCACAUAAUCGUCCCCGAAACCACUCUAGGGACCAAUUAAACUAUUAACUCAAUGAUCGAGACGGUAAAAUUCUUAUUAUAAUCACGCUAGUAAAUAAGGUAAAAAUAUAAGGGUCGGGAUGUGACACACUCUAACUGUUCCACAUGUUUUCCCCUGCGCUCUUCGUUUUAAAUUGCCCAGUCUGCAGAGUUCAGGUUGGACCUAGUAGGAGACGAGGCAUAGUUACCCGCUUUUCCGCCAGUUUUCAUCAGUAGGUUACCUGUUUAACCUACUAGUGUUUUCUUGCUUCCGUUAGUGUCUAAUAGGUCUGAAUACUUUGGGAUUAUUGUAUAUUAUUUCGGUGGUGUGCUCGGUCGGUUGACUUUAUGUUUAGAAUUUCUGAAGGAUAAUAUUUGCUUUUAUUUAGCUGGAUAAUUGUGUGUUAUAUUUUUUGGACGUGCUGUAGUAAGAGUGUGAAUUGGAAAUUUUUCGGGUUAGGGUUGUCCAUUUCCAAGGGAGGUUUUACCAAUCUUUUCGGUAAAUUUUCCUUCGAGGUGGUCCCCGCACGACUUACUCCGGAUUUCAGGGUGAAAUUCGGGGUGGGUCGUGUCAGUUAUUGAGAUAAAUAUUACAUCUUUCACAAAGUUUACAAACAGACCGAUUCAAAGAGGUGAUGAGAUCACGCAGAUCACUUGAAGAUCGGCGAACGGGGUCUGGUUUCCGAAUAUAUAGGAGAGGAUGCAAAAGAUGUCGUCGUCUUCAAGUAGCUUCUUGGCUUGAAAUUGAGCUCAAGUGAGAUGUCAGCAAGGCAUUUUUGCAUUCGUUUGGAAAACUCAUAGUGAGACUUUCCUGGCUCUGAGUCGACGUGAAGCAAGUUGACGAUCUCAUAUACCAAUUUGCCGCCGCCGAUUAUUGGGAAGAACAAAAUUAUUGAGGUUGGGAUUGGGAUUGGGUUAGGACUUAGGCUUAGGGUUGGGAUUAUUCGAGAUUUGUAAUUUUGGUUAGGAUGGAGAGGUGGAAUGGGCAUAGAUUAUUGAGAUUAGAGGAAUGCGAGUUGAGUUGAGCUUUUGGGAGAAGACAAUUACACUAACAUUAAACAAUUAUUAAUUAUAUCUCAAGGAAAAAUUCACGGUUUAUAUUUUGUUGUAGAUUUGAGAUGGUUAGGUGUCUUGUUUCUAUUGGGUUUAGGUUUGUAACUGUGGGAGUUAGAGGCGACCACGUCUCGGAGAAAAUGGAGAAUUACCCUUAUAUAGCACUGGUGUCGAGCCUUCGGGGCGAGAAUGGAUUUUAACACACGGGACCGGGCCCGGCCCGCGUAGUAGUGGGACCCGCCCAGACAGAAAAUUUCAUAUAACAAAUUCGGCAAAAAGCCCAGCCCGGCCGGUUCAGGUCGAUUUGCAAGUUUUUUUUCUUGCUACGGGCUUUAUGCCCAGCCCUAGAAGUACGCAGACUCUACUUGAAAUUCAUGAUCCCUGAAUGUAGGAAGAGUUUGUCCAUCUCUCCCCACUGGUUCAAACUAAAUAGGUUCUCUAGUAUCCAAUGCACAGGUUGAUCGUAGAUAGUUGUCAUGGAUGGAUUCAUUAAAUCAUCUUUUUCAUGCUCCACAAAUUUUUCCACGACAAAUUCAUCAUGCACAAUCAUGUUAUGAAGAAUGAUUCAACUGAUCAUGAUGGCUCAAAGAUCUUCUAGUUUAAACAACCUACCACCGUGACGCAAUAUUACCCAUUGAGAUUGGAUGAUACCAAAGUACCGCUCCACAUCUAUGUGGUAAGCCUCUUGUUUUUUGCAAAAGUGUUUCUCCUCUUCUGUUCUGGGGUUCGACAUUGUUUUCACAAAAGUAAACCACCUAGGGUAAAUUCUAUCAGCAAGGUAGUAACCAUUGGUGUACCUUUUGUUAUUGACCUCAAAUUGAACCUGAGGAGCAGUUCCACCAAUGACACGCUCAAACACAUUAGACACACCAAGAACAUUGAGGUCAUUUUGUGCUCCAGGGGUUCUGAAAAAAGCGUGCCAUAUAUGUGUGUCGUAAGACGCCACUGCUUCUAGAAUUAUAGUUAGUCUUCCCUUCCGACCCAAGAAAGCUCUAGCCUAACUGAUUGGGUUGUUCUUCCAUUCUCAAUACAUGCAAUCUAUGCUCUCAAUCAUGCUUGAAAACCCGCGGCGAUGUCCUCUAUUGUGAAGCCUAUAUAAGUCAGCUGAAUUGGGAGGACGAAAGAACCACUCACCGUAGAGAAACUCGAUCUAUCUGCAAAAUUUCUUCAGACAUUUCAGCGUUGUAGAAGUUCACAUCCUAAUGAUUUCAUCACAUUGAUCAGCAACUGCACCGUACAUGAGCAUUCUCAAGGCACCUGUCAUAUUUUGUCCAUGAAGCAAUCCCAUUUUUCCAAUGACAUCUGUUUUUUGCCUCCAAAAACUGUCGUGGUUGCAAAGAUCCUCCAUUAUACAUUGGAAGACAUUUAUGCAUUUGGUGCUGCAUCCGAAAGCUUGCUUCGUUGUACACUAGAUGUUCAACAAAAUAAUCCUGAAGGAGGAAAUGACCUCGGACUUCUAUGUGUCUCUCCACAUUUGGUGCAUGGACAGGUCGUGAACCACGCCCUUUAGGUGUCUAUUCUAGUUGAUAUUGUGCCACCAUUGCAACUGCUUGAGAGUUUGUAGCUUGAAUCCUCUCCGGAUCUUCCAUAUUUUCACGUUCUCUUUCUUGCAACCACCGGUUUAAUUCAUUCAGGAAAGGAGGAGAAUGAGAUGGGUAAUGAUAUUUUUAAAGAGAUGGAGGUAUAUAAUGAGAGGAGUGAGUAGAGAUUGAAGUCUAAAGGUUAUUUAUUAACAUUCUUGAAGAUAAAAAGUUUCGGAUAAGUACACAUGUCAGGUAAAGAUUGUUUGAGAAUCUUAUCAAAAAUCUGAAAUAUAUUUUUAGAAGAUAGGGGUGUCUAAAGUUGACAUUUUAAAUAUCGCCUUGAAAAUGAUAAGAUAUUUUGUAAUUUAUAAAAAAAUAAAUUGAUAUUUAAAAAAAACAAUUAAUGUUGUACGAUCAAUCUCAUUAUUAAUUAACCAAAUUAUAAGUUUAACAUUUUCAAUUAAUGCAUUAUUCAAAUAUAAAAUGUGAAUAUUAGAUUAUAGCAGACAAACUACCUUUAACUGGUGCAUUGACAAAGGAUAGGCAAUUGUCAAUUUCAGAUUAAUAGUGAAUUAGCAUGAGCAAUUCAAUUGGCAAAUAAGCAAUUGCAUUGAAUUCCCCUUAUCUAACAGGUGCAAAUGCUCUUAUAGUAAACUAAAAAUCAAGUACCAUUGCUUGCUCCCCAUGCUUAGGCAGAGUAACAUGAUAUUUGUCCCAUCCUUGCUCUUGGUAUUAGGGCUUGUCAUUGUACCAACAACAACAACAACAAAGAAGUAAGUGAUGCACAUUGGAUCUCUCUUCUUCUUUUGGAGAUCCUUGUUCUUACUCCCCAAAUGCCUACUAAGUUUCUGCUUCAAAGAUUUAAUGGGCUCCUGGGUCAUCUUCUAGCCCAGCUACAUCAAGCCCAUCUGAAACUACACCAUCACCCCAGGCCCAACUUUCGCAUUCAACCCAAUAAUAGGUUAGUCUAACUAGAUUUUUCAACAUCAAACUAUAAAAAGAAAUAAACUUUUGUUGGCAAUUAUAUUAUAAAAUUGUGUAGGAUCAAAAUUUUUUUGUUUGUUUCUUUUUUCAGAUUUUCAGAAUUACUAUCCUUAUGCAUGAAGAUAAUCAAUUUGGUCAUUGUGGUCGGACUCUAUUAUGGAUUUCUGACCACAUUCUCCAUAGGGCCCUCUUAUCUUUUCCUUCUCUAAGCUUAGGUUAUGAAAGAAGGAGAAGAAGGAACCGAGAAGAAAGUAUCAGCAACAACCGAUUUUAUUACAGGACACCUAAUGAUAAGGUUUCCGCCGAUGUACAUGAACUCCAUGCUGCCAUUCACCACCUCCAACACAAGCUGGUCUGACUAAGCUAGCCUCGAAACCUCUUGCACCAACGCCAAUAUCGUAUCGGAUCUCAAUGUGCUUUCAUAGGAACCUCGGUCUUCGAACCACGACUCGGUUCUAGACCUUGCAGCCCUUCCAAUUCCGUCUCCAACUUAUGUUCACAAACUCCACCACCAUGGCCAAAAAAAAUCGUAAGAUGGACAUAACCCAUGACAAUUCUCAUAGUGGAACUCCAUCAUGACUGACAGAUCCCGAGAAAAUUCAAGCCUCUGCCACAUCUAACACCGUUGGCGCCUCACCCUGAUUCUUUGAACCGAAUCAUUGUGUUGCAUCACCACCAGAUCAACCUGCACAAAUUCUCCUAGGACCCAUCCAAUAGCGUUACUUAAAGUACUACAUUAAUUCAUAGUUUCUAAAAUGAUUGUCCGGUUAUUUACACUAAAUCUUCUAAACACAAAAAAAGAUCAAAUCUUAUUAAAAUCAAAAUGAAAGUUCGACCAAACUGGAUAUGUGGGUUGAAGAUUGCAAGUUUGUAGGAAUGAUUUAAGAUAUAUUGAAGGAGAAAUCACUUCUUCCUCUAGUCUUUCUUAGAAAUGAUCAUAGCACAUUGAUUUGUAGAGCUCAUUCCUCUAGUACUAGUGUACAUUAGUACAACUGCACUAGGGAAAUGGAUUCAGAUGCUUAUCAUGCUCUCUUUUUACCAAGCGAGUAGAUGCCCAACGUCGGACCCAAAAAAAAAAGAUGCCCAACGACCUGUCGUUCUGCAAUCACACUGUGACCUAUCAAAAUUUAAUUUUUUUUUUUUUUUUAANNNNNNNNNNNNNNNNNNNNUUUUUUUUUUUUUUUUUAAAUGGAAACACGAGGCCAAAUGAAGCGGUUAACAAGUAUGUGAUUCGCUAUCACGAUCUUUCAGCUCAAAAUCCAAGUAGUUUGUCAAAAUUACCCAACACAAUCGCAAGUCUAACGUUCAUAUUGUAGACUAGAGAAUCCAAUUUACGAAGAACCCACAAAGCAAUUUGCUCCCAACUGUUUGAACAACCCUAAAGUCGGAUGAAGAGGAUAGAAGCAGAAAACUGGGUUUGUCAAGUUCCAUUCUUUUUAUACUUUCUGGGUUCUGUUUUAUAGAAAGGUUUUGUCUUUGUUCUGACAUGGGUUUUCUUGUUUCUCUGUUUUUGAAGUGUAUGUGUAUCCCAAGGUGAAGGUCAGGCAGCAACAAAAGAAAAGAUGAUCAACAUGCUCUUCUUGAUUUUGAUUCUCCAGGUUUCUUUUUUGAGAAAAGUACAAUUAAAUGUAUGAUUUGCGGCUCUUCUAGUUCUCUUUCAGUCCUGGUUACAUGUUUUGAUAAUUGACAUACUAGAACUGGGGAUCACAGAUUGACAACUUUGAAAAUCUGCUUGCUCGGUCUCAUUAACAUGUUUGAAUUCAUUUGUAACACAUAAGAUACUUGGUGUUGAACAUUUCUUUGUAGAUGAUAAGUCGAAGCAUGUGCAAAGUAAACUUUUUUUUUUUUUUUCUAUUUCAUUCGAUUUAGUGAUACCGUGGAGAGGAACAAAGAAUUUCGAUUUAUGAUCUUUUAGAUAUCAGGACUGACUUGCAAUAGCCCAAAAAUGGUCCAUACUUCUAGUCUUCAGAGGGGAUCAGACUUAUCAAUUGAUCAGUUUUGACUUGCUUAUCACUUCCAAAUUUUUGGAAGUGGUAAAUAGGAUUUGUAUACCAACAUUAAUACCCUAGGGAAAUCCUCCCUAGUCCUCAUGACCUUGAUCUUUGUAGUUGAAACUCGGGCCUGUUUGUGAUACUUACAUACUGAGGUAUUAUAUCUGCUUGACUGCUUCUUCUCAUCAUUCUGAACUCAUAAUACAGAAGCUUUAGUGCAAACCUUUGUUCUGAUCUAUAUGCCCAGGACAUAAUAAGCAUCACAUUUCAUGUCUUUGAUUCUAGGGUUAGUUAGGGUGUGUCUAACUGUGUAUGAUUGAUUUACGCCUCUGAUGCUAUGACCGUAGGUUUGAUACUAGUCCAAAAACAUAUGAUGGAAAAUUUCUUAAAAUACUGCCUCACUAGAUAAGGAUUUCUUCUUUCUGCAUUAUUCAUUAGAAUCUAUAAUGCAAUAACAAUCAUCUUAUUCAUUGAAGUUUCUUAUAUUCCCAAGUUCAGAGGUGUCAUCAGAUUGAUCUAACAGGGUUUGACAAUUCUAUUUCGCUAUAGUGAAGGAUCAAGAUGUUUCUACAGCUAUAGUUGCAAGAGUUCCAAAAUAUUAUGCGCCAAGAGUGGGCCUUUGAUCUCUGUUGCUGAUGGUAUAGUUCUAGUGUCAACUGUGUCUAUCUUGUUAGGGAGAAAAGAAAAAUUCUACCAUAGAACCUUAUGAGAAAACUUCAAACAAGAUACCAAAUAAUAUAGUUCUAAAUCCCUGCUGUAACUGAAAUACUAUAAAUGACUUUUAUUUUCGAAGACUAAGAUAGAUGUGAUCAUAUUCCCUUUAUAACCUCAGAAUACCCAAAAUACUUAGUACUAGAAAAUCGAUCAUGUAUCACUUAACAAGAUAUGUCAUGCAAUCAGGCUUUAGGAAUUACAAUAGUCCAGUGAUUAUUGUUCUGAUAUAGACUCUUGAAAACCUGAUAUGGACUGCUUUAAGAACUACUAGAUUUUUUUUUUUUUUUAAUUAAAGUAAGAACUAGUACCUUUUAAUGAACAGAAACUUUACAGGAACUGCAAAAAUUGGAUAGCAGACGAUGGGAUAUGGUUGAGUGUUGACUAAUACACUGUGCAUGAUACACUAGUAGAAUUAUUGCAUACUAGUCGAACUGCACUAUUUAAGACCAUGUUUCUUACCAUAGGAUAACCAAGCUCCAGUAGACUUACCAGAGAGGUCUGUCUAAUUUCAAACGAGCACAUGUGAUGCAGAUGUAAUUCUAUUUGGUCAAACCCUUGUGAUUAUGUUUAUUGAUAGAUUGGAAAAAUUUCCAUAAACAUUCUAUAAUGUACUGGAAAUAGCAUCAUUACCUAGUUUAUAUGCAUGUUUGAGCAACUUUUGUCUAUCUGUACAAAUGAUGGACUUUCACUAUCUAUAUGUUUUCAGAUAAUGAUAUGGUGAUUGGAAACAAAAUUAGGAUCAAAGCACAACGACCAUUGGCUCUGAAGAAUCAUAGCUUGGUUCACAAUAGAAGUAGACAAUGUGUUCCACAUUCACAUUACUGAAAGUUCCAUAAAACCAAAAAGUUCCAAGGGGACUUCAGUUGAGAGCUGUCCCAAGGAAAGGAAAGGACCAGCAUCAAAACUAACAAGUCAGAUUCGGCCACCAAGAACAGGGAAACCGAGCUCUAAGGUAAAGUGAGUAUUUGGUUUAUAGUUUACAUUAUAUGUGUGUCAUUACUUAAGUAACUUACACUGAUUAGAGCGUAUCUACAUAGCUGUGUGACAAAUCUCAUGUCUGGUUUCUGUAGUAGCCAUUAGUUCAGUGCUUACAGUUGUGUGAACUAUACUGAUAUUAAUUGGAUCCGCCUUUUCUGAUGCAAUAGCUUGUGCUUUGUUUAUGGGAAAGACGUUUCACAUUAGGAUAAAAGUCUUGAUAUUUUUGUAUUUUGUAUGUUUCAACGAUGGUAUUCUCAACUCUCUCACCUAGCAAAGCACUAGGUCUAGAGAUCCCUCUUCGUCUUCUCCUCCCUCACAUAAGCUCUCCACUUGGUCUCUGCCUCGGCCAUCCCUCCUUGCUUCUCACUUUCCAUGGAAAACUAUCCAAACGUUUCUCUUUCCAUGAGUUGCUUCCGUUUCCAGAAUUUACUGCUGCUACAUAUACAUUCCACUUUGGUCAUAUUCAUAUUCCAUACUAGGCAAAGACUACAAAUUUGACUACAAUGAGCUAUAUAGCAAGGUACAUAAGUGAAGGCCCUCUUCGUUUUCUUUAUUGUCAUCACUGUUUAUUCCACUGCCAGAAUCAACUUAAGCUAGGGUUCUCGAAUUAGAACCCAUGGUGAUAGACCUCUCCUGCAAUUUAACUACCCAAAACCAUACUAGAAAACCCAUCACGAUCAUGAAUUUCCAUACUUUCCGUGGGUUUCUGAACAAGUUUCCACAGUGACACCUCCCUUUGUCUACACCUGAAAUAAGAACGUACAGAGAAAAUAUCUCUAGGAUUAUAUAGGUAGGAGAGUAUUCAUCCUAUACAUUUUAUUUUCCACCCUAGCUUUGGCUCACAGUUUUUUUUUUCCUACAAGUAUAAGCAAACAAUCUGUACUUUCCAGUUCUUUCAUUAGUACAUGGAAUAAAUUCGAGGUUAUGCAUGCAUAAAUGCAGUGCAUCUGGUGCUGUCUGCGCACUAAAACAGAAGACUUGGGGAUUUGCCUAAGAUCUGCUAAAUAAGAUCAAAGCCAUCUCCAUCAAAUUGCAGAAGAAAAAUUAAAACAUCAUUAGUCUUGAAUUUUGAUCUUCAGGCAACGAAUUUUCAUCUUAAAUAAUAUCAAAGAUGACUGUUAUCCAAAUAUCUCUGAUGAGGAAGCUGAAUACUAUGGUGAUGCACUAAUGUUCCAAAGUAACUCUUAUAUCCAUUCAAUGAAGCAACAAAACCAGCAACAUAAGACUGACCUAGCCAACAAUAAAAAAAAAUAUUUAGUUAGGAUAUUUCUAGCUGGAAUUUGAGAACUUAAGAUGUUGAAUUUUAAGCACAUAGGAUAUUGCAAUUCUGGAUAUGAUGUUCUUUUCUUAUGAUGUUCUUUCCAGCUCCACGGCGCCUCUACCUAUAUCUCAUCCUAUAUUUUUCCUUCUCAUUAUUCAAUGUGUCAACAAACCAGGACCUCCAAGACAUGCGGUCUUCUUCUCCAAUCCAAUAUCUAUACAGCUGAUUAACACACUUUACCAAGCUUGUGCCAUACUCCUCACCCAGCUUUUGCUUUCACAACUCAUCAUCACAUUCAUCAUUAGGCAGAUUUUGCAGCUCCUUAAAAACGCACGACACUCUAGCAACAUCCUCAACUUGCAGGCACUUUAAAAUCUUGCUAGAAGAUCCGGAGGAAGCUCCAAAAGACGGCACGGUGGAGCACGCAAACGGGUGAGUGUGACUGCACAAUAAAGAUCUACCAGUAACGGCAAUGCUAUCUCAUUCUUCACAACAUUCCAAAUCUCAUUAACUUGUCUCUCAAGUAAUCCCUCAGUUACAUGAUAAUGAUAAACUCUAUUGUCUCCCCAAACAAAAUCGAUUAGGGCAGGCACAUACUUCUUCUCAUCCAACUCUACAGGGCAACCGCCACGGUAGGCCUCAACGAAUGGGCUGAAACAGUGAUACACCAGUACAAUGCCCUUCUUUCUUUAACCUUACCACCAUUCUGUAGAAUCUGAGGAAAAGUAUAGAAACCCGAUUCGCCUCAAACUGAAGCUGGGUUUAACGGCACGACACCGGAAUCUAAGAGGGUCAUAUGUACCACUUGUCUCAAUACCUUGAGCUUAUCAAUCAGCUUCUCUCUUAAGUAUACUCUUGUUCCACACCAACACAUCAGAAGAUUCAGAACCAAUACCAUCGAUUCCACACUUUUCAUGAGGCUCCAAUACAAAGGUGAUAGAUCUUUCUUCUUGCCAACUAACCAAUAGGUCACAGCCACCAGCAAAAUGCCAUGUUUUUUGACAACAAAUUUAUCUAUACACGAAUUCUUUAUUAAAGAUGAGUUGUACACUAAUCUCUAAACUUGGGGUAAACUUAAUUAUGUUAAAACACUCACAGAUAAGAGAUGGAAUUCUUAUUCAUGCUGGAGUACUUUAAAGUGUUGCAGUGUAGCAUCUUGUGCUCAAACCGGGAGGUAUGGUGGGGUUCGUUUAUCAUACUAUAUGGUAUGACAUACCUAUUGUAAAUGUGUCUAAUUGUAUGGCACAUAGGGUAAACUUAAUUAUGUUAAAAUAAGAGAUGGAAUCCUUAUUCAUGAUGGAGUACUAGUGUUGCAGUGUAGCAUCUGGUGCUCAAACUGGGAGGUAUGGUGGGGUUUGUCUAUCAUACCAUAUAGUAUGACAUACCUAUUACAAAAGUGUUUAAUUGUAUGACACAUGUGGGUUUCUAAAGAGGUAAAUGGUCAUUUAGUUAUUUCUUCAAUCAAUAAUAGCUACAUAUUUUGUGAGGCAUGCUAUAUCAUAUAAUAUAUUAAAAUUUUCCGGGUACGGUGAAGGUGAUGUGUGACUCGCAGGCUCAACGACAUGUCGUUCCGCAACCACAUUGACCUAUCAAAUUUGAAAUUUCGAAAUGGCAACACGGGGCCAAGUGAAGCGUUGACAACUCCACUACGUGAUUGUCUGUCAGCUGAAAACGUGCUCAAUUGCGUCUCAGAAUCCAAGUCCUUUGUCAAAAUGACUCGACACACUCACAAGUCUACUUCAGGGGCUUUUGACAUUGUCUAUGAUAUUCAUUCGUCCUUCCACCUUCAUCAUAUUGUAGACUAGAGAAUCCAACAGAACCCACAAAGCAAUUUGCUCCCAACUUUUUGAACAACCAAAAAUUCAGAGGCUUCAACAACUGAAGAAGCUCUCAGAGAGAGGAAGAGGACAAAAGCACAAAAGUGGGUUUGUCAAGUUCCAUUCUUUGUGUACUUUCUGGGUUCUGUUUUCUUAAUAGUUUUUGGUUUUGUUCUGAAAUGGGUUUUCUUGUUUCUCUGUUUUCAAGUGUAUGUUUAUCCCAAGGUGAAGGUCAGGCAGCAACAAGAAGAGAAAGAUGAUCAACAUGCCCUUCUUGAUUUUGAUUCUCCAGGUUAGUUUUUUUGAGAAAAAAGUAGAAUUAAUUAGUAAAUUUCUGCUCAUCUAAAGCUUUAGUUUAAACCUGGUUUAGUAAUAGAUAUAGUAGAACUGGGAAGCACAGAUUGACAAUUCUGAGAGUCUGCUCGCUCUGUCUCAUUAAUCAGCAUGCUUGACUUUAGUUUCUACACAUAGAUAUACUUGGUAUUGAGCUUAUAUUUGUAGAUGAUAAGCUGAGGCAAGUGUAACAAACUUCUAUUUGAUUUCAUUCCUUUUAGUGAGACAGAGGAAUGAACAAGAAUUGAAAUUUAUAAUCUUUUUACUUAUCAGGACUGGCCUGCAAUAGCACAAAAAUGGUCUAUACUUCUGGUCUUCAGAGGGGAUCAGACUUAAGAAAAGAUUUUGAAUUGCACAUCACUUCCAAAUUCAGUGAUGCUUUCUUCAUUUAUCUCACAACACAACUAAUAUAUAGGUGAAACAGACACAACAUUAAUAUUAAAAACAUCUAUGAGAAACACCAUACAUCAAAAUUAUCAUAAAACGUACGUAAACAUAAAACAAUAGAUGAACAAACUAAAGACACAUCAAAACUACAUUUCUUAGACUCUUAUUAUGUCUCAUCUACUUGAACAAUUACUCCUUUGCUCAAUAGCUUAACGCCAUCUUGUGUUCAAAUCAAGUGGGCUAAAAGAAUCGCUAUGCCCACUCUUUGGAGGUGGACGCUUCGGGCCUGGCGGACACAUAACUUUCUCUGGUUUAGGCAGUUUGGAUGCUUUGUCUUUUGGAGUUGUUGAUGUCUUGGUCCUGGCAUCCGUGGCUUCAUAAGCUUGUGAACUAUCAGAAGAACUCAUCUUUUGACAACAAAUCUGAAAAUCGAAACUUGUUAAAUUGAUGAGAAUAACAAGACCAUCAUGUCACUAUAUAUAGAGCUUGUUUUUUCAAUUGCGAAAUACAAGAGGAAUUUUGAUAGGACCAGGAGUAAUCUUUUCAAAACAUAAUAGGAAAACUUUCUUAAUCCAAAAAGGAAGAGGGAAAAGUUUGAACAGAUAUAGUCACCCAGAAGAAAAAUCAAUUAAAAAGGAGGAAACAAUUGAAUUUGAUAGUUAAAUCAAUUAAAAAGGAACUUAUGGAUUGGGGACACGUAGAAGAAAAAUGCAGCAUCAAUAUAUGUAAGGCACUAUUUUGAUAUUUUCAUCUUUUCUUCCAUCAGCAGGUAUUGUUAUUCUACUAGCUGGAUCUUAGCAUGGUGUUAUUGUUGGUGUUUUAGCUGCUCCUUGUGCGCAUAUAAUUCAUGACUAACCAGUAUAGUACUGUUCCUGUUCGUCAUUGCAUAACCGAGUUUGUACUCUUGAUAAGGCUUACUUGUUACGAACAAGAACAGGUACUUAGGAUCUGUAUUCGGACAUUAAUUUCCCAGAGAAAUCCUCCUCAUUACCUUGUGCUUUGUAGUUGAAACUCGUCCCGUUUUAUGACAGUUGUAGGCAGAAUGUAUUAUAUCUCCGAAGCUUCCAUUCAUUAUGAACUCAUGAUCCAGAAGCUUUAGUGCAAACCUCUGUUCUGAUCAAUAUGUUUUUCCCAAGACAAUAUAAGCUCUGAUCAAUAUGUUUUUCCCAAGACAAUAUAAGCAGCAGUUUUACAGGUCCUUCAUUUCAGCUUGUAAGUCAGUGUGCGUGUAUGAUUGAUUUACUGUGCUGAGUCUAUGACUCUGUAGAUAUAAUACAAAGUUGGAAAAAUCAAGAUAGAAGAUUUCUUAAUAUACUGCCUCGGUAGAUAAGGAUUUGCUUCCCCUUGCAUUCUUCCUCAGAUUCUUUAAUGCCUUGACAAAUUCCUUUUUCAUCAAAGUUUCUUAUAUUCCUGAGUCCUGAAUAGUCCUUGGUCUUCAGGUGAUCUAACAGUGUGAUUUGACAAUUCUAUUUCUUUGUAGGGAAGGAUCAAGAUGUUUCUCCAGCUACCAUUGCAAGAGUUCCAAAAUCUUAUGUGCCACUGCCAAGAGUAGUUGUGCCAUCGAUCUCUGUUGCUGAAGGUAUAGUUCUAGUGACAAUUGUGCCUAUCUUAUUAGGGGAAGGAAAAAGAUUUCUCCUUUUGCGUGUACAUCUUGCCUUCAUGUUCUUCAUUUCUCGUCUAGCAGAAAUCAAUUGAACUCCGUUUGCUGUUCCAGAAUUGGGUGCUGAAUUAGUUGCAGGCUAUAAAGUUUUGACAUUUUCAUCUCUUAUUUACAGGAGUAAAGAAAGCCAAUAAGAUUGAAGAGAUGAAUAAACAGAAUAUUAGAGCCGGCUCAAUCCCUCCCCCGCGUGCAGUCUUAUCCAGUCCUGGUAAUUAAUGUCUCGUCAUCCUUUAUUUAUAUAUGAUGUAGUACCAGUUGAGAAAACUAUUAUCAAGAGUCAAAAAAUAUAUUUCUAAACCCCUGCUGUAACUAAAUUACUAUUAAUGACUUUCAUGUAGAAGAUUAGGAUAGAUGUGAACUUCAUAAUAUGCAAAAUAGUAAAACUAGAAAGUUGAUCAUGUAUCACUUAUCAAGGUAUGUCAUGCAAUCAGACUUUAGGCUUCAGGAGUUACACUUAUCCGGUGAUUAAUUUGCUUUAUGAACUACUACUUUUAAUGAACAAGUAUUGUAACAAACUGUAAAAAAUUGAAUAGCAGACCAUGGAAUAUGGUUGAGUGUUGACUGUUGACUAAUACAUUGUUCAUGAUACACUUGUAUUCCAGCAUACUAGUUGAACUGCACUAUUUAGGACCAAGUAUUUCUUACCAUAGAAUUACCAAGUUCCAUUGGACUCGGCAGAGAGGUUUGUCUCAUCUCUAAUGAGCACAUGUGAUGCAGAUACAGUUUUCUUUGGCUAAACCCUUGUGAUUAAUAUUAUUGAUAGAUUGAAGAAAUUUCCAGAAACAUUUCGAGUUUGAAGCACUGGAAAUAGCUUCAUUACCUAGUUUAUAUGCAUGUUUCGGCAGCAUUAGUUUAUCUAUCUGUACAUCUUAUGGACUCUUUCACUAUCUAUAUGUUUUCAGAUAAUGAUAUGGUGAUUGGAAACAAAAAUAAGAUCAAAGCACAACGAUCAUCGGCUCUGAAGAAUCAUAGCAUGGUUCAGAAUAGAAGUACACAAUGUACUCCACUCCGCAUUACUGGAAAUUCCAUAAAAACAAAAAGUUCUAAGGGGACUUUGGUUGAGAACUGUCUUAAGGAAAGGAAAGGAUCAGCAUCAAAACUAACAAGUCAGAUACAACCACCAAGAACUGGGAAACCAAGCUCUAAGAAAAAGUGAGUGCAUGGUUUCUAGUUUACAUUAGAUGGGUGUUAAUACCUGAGUAACUUACUCUGAUUAAAAUGUAUCUACCUAGCUAUGUGACUAAUUGAAUGUUUGCUUUAUGUAGUAAGUAGUAACCGUUAGAUCGGUUGCUUACUGUUGUGUGAAGUGUGAACUAUACUGAUAUUAAUUGGAUCCGUCUUUUCUGAUGAAUAGCUUGUGCUUUGUUCUCAUUUCACAUAAUUGUAUUUUGUUUCUUCUACUACUGUAUCCUUAACUCCCUCUCUCUUUUCGUCUAUCAUGUUCAUCUGAAACGCUCUCCACCUAGCAAAGCGUUGGGUCUGGAAAUCCCUUUUUGUCUUCCCUAUCCUCAUAUAAGCUCUCCUCCUAGCCCCUGCCUCUACAGCUCUACCAUCGUUCCUUGCUUCUUAGGUUCAUAGCAAACCAACCGAGAAAAGACACCAUUGGAGUCUUGAAUUUUCAUCUUCAGGCAAAGAAUUGGUAGAAAAUAAGGAAUAAAGAUUACUGUUAUCAAAUAGCGUAGAUGACCAUCUUUUUCAGAUUAUGAGGAAGCUGAAACCUACGGUAACGUUGAAAGAUAACUAUAUAUCCGCACAAUCAAGCAACAAAACCAGCUACAUAUGACUGACCUAGCCAACAAUAAGAAAAGAACCAAGUAAAAAAAAUCUAGCUAGUGAAGAUCAUUCUACCUGAAAUAGGAGAACUAAGGAUGCUUAUAGAUAUUGCAAAGGAGGAAACUCCCUACCAUAUUCUUUUCCGAUGAUGUUGUUUCCAGCGCCACGGCCUCGACCUACCUCUGAUCCUAUAAUAUUUUUCCUUCUCAUUAUUCGUAGUGUCAGGGAACCUAGACUUCCAAGACAUAUAAUCCAACUCGCCUGAUCAAUUUCGUUUACAAAACCUGUGCCAUACUCCUCACGAAGCUUUUGCUUCCAGAACUGCUCAUCAAAUGCAUCAUUAGCCAGAUUUCGCAGCUCCUUACAAACACAUGACACACUAGCAACAUCCUCAACUGGUAGGCACUUCAAAAUCUUUGCUAAAAGCUCCGUAGGAAGCUCCAGAAGGCGGCACGGUGGAGCAUGCGAACCGGUGAGUGUGACUGCACAAUAAAGAUGUAUUAGUAAUGGCAAUGCUGUCUCAUUCUUCACAAAUCUUCUUAGCUUGUUUCUCAAGUAAUCCCACUGUCACUUGACAAAAUCGAUGGGCAGGCACGUACUUCUUCUCAUCCAACCCUACAGGGUAACUAUCACGGUAGGCCUCAACGAAUGGGUUGAAACAGUGAAACACCAUUACAAUGCCUUUUAUAGCCUCACCGCCAUUCUGUAGAAUCAGAGGCUAAGUACAAAAAACUGAUUCGCCCGAAACGGAAGCUGGGUUUAACGGCACGAAACCGGAAUCUAAGAGGGGCCAUAUGUACCACCUGUUUCACUAUCUUGAGUUUAAGAGCAGGUGGUUAUCAAUCAGCUAGCUUCUCCCUCUUCAAGAAGUAGUGCACGGAGUGCCAGUUCCUAAAUUAGCAUCCCAUCAGAACCAAUAUCAUCCAUUUUCAUUGUUCUUUUUUGGGUUAUCCGAUACAAAAAGUGAUAGACCUUACUUCUUGCCACCGAAAUAACCUCACCAAUAGGUCACAGCUGACCAACAAAGUUCUUGUUUUAGGGUUAUAAAUAUUAAGACACUUAUACAGACAAGGACAUCGCAAACUUGCUUUCUGUACAACAUCUGAUCAUGAGUGGACUAAACUUGAGGAGGGCAAAUGGUACAUAGAAAUCAUGGGGUGUGAUAAUGAGUUCUAUGUCCUGAUGGAGGACGAUAGUGUUGAUGUCUGGGAUUUCAGCAUAUCUUCCAUUCCCAUGAAGAAUAUGGAGAUAAAACCUGCACAUGCAUUAGUUGCAGGACUAAGAAGGUUUCAUCAAGUUUACAUGCACAAAACAGCGGGGACUGGUCUAAUGCUGGUAGCAGUGGAUUUACGGUCUCCACUGGAUCGCGAUCUACUCCAUGUUUAUAAGCUGGAAGGGACAUCUCCUGUGUGGAAGGAGGUGGAAUCGAUUGGGAGUAAUGCCUUGGUUUUAGGUUCGAACAAUUCCAUAGUAAUGUCACACCAUGAUCCCUACGCUGUGAUGGUGAUUCAAUUUACUAUGGGAAGCAGUCAGCACCUAGAUCUUGGAACUUAUAUGUGUUUAGUUUGAAAGACAAAUCAAGGAUCAAAGUCUGUAAACUGCCAGUGGACUUUGUACCACUAGCUUUUUCGGGAUCCUAAAUCCUAGCCAGGAAGGGAAAAUGCAGUACCGGAAGGUGGCUUUGAAUAAACUUUGUUGGCAUUGAGGCUUGCUUUCCUAUCUAUAUGGUGGAAAUGUGAAACUGGUUUUUUUGUUUUCUUUAUGGUAUAAGUAACAGAGUACAAUAAUCAAAGAUUCAAAGCUCGAUCGAGUAACAACCGUCAGGGAAAAUAUAUUUUCUAUGGAACUUGUACUUGCUGAAGCAAUACAGCAUUUGGUUUUGGAAACUGAGUUUCAAUAUCUGUAUACAGUAACUCUAAAACAUAACAGAUCCUCCUAAAUUUGGGGUGGGAUUUGUCCCCUGACAGAAAUACAUGCCCAAUGUUGUUUACCUCAAUCCAACUGCACCCCGGUUGCUUCUUGACUCCUUUCUCUUUCAUCCUUGCCUUAAUCCGUCCAGCAUCUUCUCUUCUUCCAUAACUCGAAUACAUUUCUGCCAAAAUCAAAUAGAUACCGGAGUUACCAGGCUCUAUUUCCAAAACCCUCUCCCCGGCAAUCUCACCCACCUCAAUAUUCUUGUGGAGUCUACAAGCUCCAAGUAAUGCCCCCCAAACACUUGCACGAAUCUCAAAUCCAUCAGAUUUCAUUUGAUCUAGAAAACUCAUUGCCUCGUCUAUAAGUCCAAAUCUUCCGAAUAAAUCAACUAUACAUGUAUAAUGCUCAGUAGUAGGUUCAAGAAAAUAUGUGUAUCUCAUCAUGUCAAAGUAAUAUUUACCUUGGUCGACCAACCCUGCAUGGCUACAAGCAGAUAGAACAUUGACAAAGGUUAUAGCAUUGGGAUCAACAGAUGUUGAUCUCAUACAUUCGAACAUCUCCAAAGCUACUUCACCAUUCCCAUGAUGAGCAUAUCCACAUAUUAUAGAAUUCCAAGAAAUGACAUCACGGAUGGGCAUGAACGAGAAUUCCAGUAAAGCGGAAUCCAUGCUGCCACAUCUUGCGUACAUGGUAACCAUAGCAUUAGAAACUGAAACAAUGUCACCGAAUCCUUCUUUUACUAUAUGUGCAUGAGUUUGUCUACCUAGGUGUAAGGUUGGUAAGUCUGAACAGAUUGUCAAAACACUAGUAAAUGUUGCUUUGUCUGGUGAUGGCCCUGAUUCUUUCAUUCUCAUAAAAAGCCUCAAACCCUCUUCACCACGAUCGUUUUCACUUAAUCCAAAUAUCGUGGCAUUCCAUGCAGUUGUAUCUCGAGUAGGCAUGGACUCAAAAAGUUUAAUUGCAUCGCAUACCUCUCUGAUUCCAAAAUAUCCAACAAUCAAAUUUGUCCAUGAUAUGACACAUCUGUAAGGCAUCUUCUUAAGCAAAGCAUGAGCUUCUCUAGUGAGCUCAUUUCUCGUUAGCUUCAAAAGGAUCGAGUUCCAUGUUUUGGGACAUUUCUCUGGCAUCUCCAUAAAUAGCUUCAAGGCAUCAUUAAUUCUAUGGCACUCGACCAACCCCUCUACCAUUUGAGUCCAAGACUCCAAGUCCCGCUCGGGCAUCUUCUGAAACAACCCCUCUGCAACUUCAACGCACCCAUUUCCUAUAUACCCAACUAUCAUCGCAUUCCAAGCCUGAACAUCCCUCACAGGCAUCUCAUCAAAAAGCUCCCGAGCUUCAACAAUCCGCCCUGCCUCACCAAACACCGAAAUCAUUAUCGUCCAUGAAGCACAAUCCCGAACACUCAUCUUCUUAAAAUACUCCUCAGCCAAAUCAAACUCCCAAUACUUCACAAGUCCCCCAACAACCAAGUUCCACGAAACCACAUCCUUCACCGGCAUCCCCUCAAACACUUGCACCGCUUCACCAAUCCUCCCAUUACGAACAUACCCAGAAAUCAUCGAAUUCCAACUCACAACGUCCCAGAAGUCCAUCCCAUCGAAAACCCGCCUCGCGCCCUCCACGUCCCCACAUUGCAUCAACCCGGCAAUGACCGUGUUGUACGAGAAGACAUCCCGCUCUUUCAUCCGAUUAAACAAGCUGACUGCUGUGGCGAACUGCCCGUUUAGAAAGUAGCCACGAAUCAUGGCGUUCCAGGUGACCGUGUUUCUGUGAGGCAUUUCGUCGAACAGCUUCUGGGCGUCUUCGACGAACCCAUUGCGCAUAAAAUUUGAGAUUUUGGAGUUGAGGGGUUUUAGAUCGUAUGAAGUUGGAUUCUGGGUUUGGAAGAAAGGGGUUGAAGUUCCUGUACAUAGUGAUUUGGUGAGGGUUAGAUAGAGGGGUCGAGUAAGCUUGAGCUUAGAAAUGGAAGAUGAGAAGUAGAGCAUGCUACGACUCCAUUCGUUUGGACUGGCGGGAAGCCGGGAAUAACAAAUAGAGGCAAGAGUUUCCGCUAAAUUACUGUUUUGGCCUUAUAGUUGUGGCGAUGAACUUGUCAUCUUUGAAUUUUCAUUUUUGGAGUGUAUGGUUUUUUUUUAUAACUUUUAUAAAAAUUAAACCACACACUUACAUAUGUCAAUGAGUGAAUGAUGUAUUUUGAUAAUAGUAGUGCUACAAGCACCAUAAAAUUAAGUAGAAGUAUAUGGAUAAUUUGGACUAAAAGAAACCAUGAAGGUUCUUAUCUAAAAACAAACAAAAAAAAUUGUGUUUAAAGAAAUGCAAACUUCAGGUACGAUAAAAUUGAAAUAGGGAUUCAGCUCUAUUUUAAUGUACCUGAAAUAAAUAAAUAACGAGCAAUAUUUUAAUCUCUGACAUGUUCAUAAGUUAUGAAGAAUAACCAACAAAUUAAGGUUACGUGCUUAAUUCUCACUAUUAUCAUAAAUAUGUGAUCGAAAAUUGUCGUUUCUUUUAACGAAAAACAUUAUGGUGAUCUUGAAUGUGGAAAUGCCUUGUAUAUUAUGGUGAUCUUGAAUAUGGAAAUGCCUUGUAUAUGAUAUCUCUAGUUUAUAAUAAUUUCAAAGGGUAAUGCUUUGUGGAAAAAAUAGAAUAGGAGAUAAAAAAAAGAAAAAAAAAGGAAGGCUCCCAAUCAACCAAAAAGCCCCGUACCCUCAAGAAAUCGUGCAAAUUAGUCUUAGAUUGGACUAUGUAUAUAUAGAGCUAACACUCACUUAUCUUAUCCUCCCAUGUAUUUCCUAUCUCUUGCACACUCACCGAGUCACUGGCCAUAAUCUGCCCACAUCAGCCUACAAAGCUUUAACUCCAUCCCACGCUCCCAUCCCUUCCUUCUCUCUUUUCCUCACAUCCAGGACUUCAUCUUCGAUCAAAACUUUACAACUAAACCACCAUUACCCUUAUCUACCUCACUCACAUUCACCACUCUAAACCACCACCAUGGCUGCCACUGCAGCCGCAGCCAUGAGCUCGUCGUUCUCUCCCUCCAUCCACACCACCCUCAAAUGCAUGCGCUCCAACUACCACUUAGCCGCCCCUCACCACGAUCUUCACCUCAGAAUAUCAACACCAACCCGCAUGCUAUCUUCAUCGUCUUCGCUAUCUGCUCAUUCAUGUGUUAUUGAUCAGCCACUGGUUUCUAGACGCGUGCUGAGAAUAUCGUGCGCUUCUGUGGACGUGGCUGUGACGGAAGAGGUUGAAGAAGAAGCUGUUGUGGCGGAAGAAGAGAAGCAGGUGGAAGAGGAAGUGGUGGCGCCGACAGCUGAAGUUUCGAGUGAGGCUGCUGUUUCGACGGAUGAGCUCCCUGUGAACACGAAGCUUUACUUUGGGAACCUUCCUUACAGUGUUGACAGUGCUCAACUUGCUGGGAUUAUUCAGGACUAUGCAAGUCCUGAACUCAUUGAGGUGAGUAGUUAAUCAUGUGGUACCAGUUGUUUUUGUUGAAAUAUUUGUUUAUAGUAGUCAUUAGUGUUUUGUUACCUACUUUUUAUUAGUACAUUAGAAAAAAUCAAAAAAUAAACUUGUUAUCAGAUUAUCGGUUAAUUUGAUCAAGUAGCUAGAGUCCUCUUUGAAUGUAUGACUCAAUUGGACUCUUCGAUAAGCGACAAGAAAUCCCAAUCCUAAUUCUCUAGUCCUCUCACACUUGUGUUAUGAAUUUGGCCUUGCCAGAGAAUUGUAAAAUGAGGGUGAUCAAAGUCAGGUACAGAUCAAAAUUAAAUGAAGUUACGGAAUUGGUUUUAGUGUUAUGUAAUAUAUGUAUGGUAAUGGGGUGAUAUACAUUUAGAUUGGAGUAAUUCAUUUGAGCAACAUAUGGAACACAUAACAUAAGGCUAGCUAUCUGUAUAUUACUGAAGAGUGAAGACCUACAAGCAAGAGUAUUGAAGAUAGUUUAUGUCCAACACACACAUUAUGCAAGAUAUGAAUAAUUCAAAGGUUGUUUUGUGUAAGCAUGUUGAAAUUCAUUACGUCAACGAUUGUCUGAAUAGUUCAUGGUUCAAUUUUUUAUUUUCUUUACUUUGGCUUCUUUAUCAUGAUCAGCAUCUGUUAUUUGCUCACCGCACCUCUUCUCUUAAUUUAUCCCUUUAAGAGACACUGAUAUUACCAUUCAUGAUCAUAUAUAGGUUCUCUAUCAUAGGGACACUGGAAAAAGCAGAGGAUUUGCAUUUGUGACGAUGAGCAGUGUUGAAGAUUGCAAUGCUGUAAUUGAAAAUCUUGACGGACGCGUAAGACUCUCAAAGAAACUAUCUUACAUAUACUACUUAUACUCACCACAUUACCGAUCGCAUCUCAGUGUCACAACAAGGGAUGCACUAGACAUAAUUUACCCUGACAUUUACCCAUGUACAGGAGCUAGAUAGAGAUGUGGUUGUUAUACAUGCAUACUCAAAGUCUCAAACCUUGUUAAAAAGCAUCGUUGAUUCUAAUUUUCAGGAGUACAGUGGCCGGACCUUGAGGGUUAACUUUUCGGACAAACCUAGAGCGAAAGAACCUCUAUAUCCAGAAACUGAGUACAAGCUUUUUGUUGGGAAUUUGUCCUGGUCAGCCACAUCUGAGAGUUUGACAAAAGCUUUCCAAGAAUAUGGAAAUGUGGUUGGAGCCAGGGUUCUAUAUGAUGGGGAGACAGGAAGGUCCCGUGGCUAUGGAUUCGUAUGCUUCUCAACAAAAGCGGAGAUGGAAACUGCCUUACAAUCUCUAGAUGGAGUGGUAAUGUUUCCUAGUCUCAUCUGCAUUCUAUAAAUGCAGAGAUGAUCUAUUUCGACAUAAUUAGUGCAGUUUCGGGUAGUCAAUUGACUGAUCCUUGUUUUGUUUUCUUGGCUUUUCAGGAACUAGAGGGAAGAGCAAUGCGUGUAAGCUUGGCUGAAGGAAAGCGCUCAUAAAUCUGCUAGAGUAAAUUUUGUUAAAUUUGAAGAUUCAUGCCAGCUGAGAUCAUUAUAUCCCAUCACAACAGCGAGGAACUCUCUUUUCAUUCUUAAUAGUUGUAUUGUAACUCAUUCUUCCUCAUCUUCAAAGUGGAAAUUCUCUAUUUUUCCCAAAGGCGAUGGUGGUUUCGUUCCUUGUUGAUCGGCUGUUUAAUACUACAGAGUUUAUGCAUUCAAGUGUCAAUGAUUCUAUUUGUGAACUUUCGAAUCCUUAACACUAUGUACCUCAUAAAUGAAUAACUAAUUGUUCUAAAUUUUGAGCCAACCACUCUCGAACUCUCUAUUUUAGACUUUCAUCUUGCUUAAGUUAUUUUUUUAGUGUCAAUUUCAAGGUCUACACUUGCUGAUACUUUUUUUCUAUAGAAGUUUUUUUUUCUUGACUAAGCUAAAUCUUUUUAUAAUAACAACUAACGUUACAACUUUGGGAGAACUCGGUGGUGGACAACAAGUCCCCACACUCCUCUUAGCAACACACCAACGAUUACAAUGGGUAUCAACUGAAUGGGUCCAAAUGUAAUGCGAAUAUUCACUAUCAUUACCCUGGCAAGGGUUUAGUUUUCUCAUCAUCCUCCAUUUUAUCAUAAACUUCCUCUGUGAAGUCUUAUGCGUCCUUAAAUUAUUGUCUUUGCAUGUGGAAAAACUAUAUGUUGGGUGAGAAAAUGAUGUAGGGUGCACAAAAUGGUAUUAGAAUAGGAUAAUUUAGCAAUUGUAAACGGGUGAGGAAAGUAAAUUGGAAACUUAAAAAAUAUAUAUAGGGUGAGAAGAGAACGUAGAGUGAAUAUAAGAGCAAGUUCAGCGGUUAGUAAUUGGCCGGUCUCCACGUAAGAAUGUUGAGGUGGUGACCACGGUUUCAUAAAAACUCGUUUCCUCCGGUGGUAUGUUGACCCACUUUGUUUUGACAUUUACUGACCCAGCACAAGAAAAAGGCUAGGAUUUUGACCCAAUUCCUGACCCAGGCAAGCCGAUUGCCAACUAGAAACGUGGGUCCGCCAGGCCUCCAUUUGGAGAGAGAGACGCCAGCAGCCUAGUUUGUGCUAAACGAAUAGACUACAUGCUUGCACGUGGAGGCUCACCAGUGGCUGGUUAAUUUAGAAAUUGAAAAUGCUCUUUUAAUCUAAGCGGUCUAUUUCAAUCAGUUAAGAGAUUACGGUAUAUAAUUAAGGUCCCAUAAUUAAUCUAGGGUAUUAUAACAAAACAGCGUGACAAAAAAUUCUCAAAAAUUUCCAUAACCACCUAUCAUAUAUUUUACGUCUUUGUCCCCAAAAGGGUGUUAUUUCUAUUGCUAUAGCUCUCACCUUCCAUCUAUUUACAUCAUAUGUAUUUCAAUUACCUUAUGUAGCAGUUCUAUUUAUAUCAAAUAUAUUUUAAUUUUGCAAUAAAUAAAUUUAUAAAAUAUUUAAUGAACAGUAACUGAUUGGUCAAAAAACGGGUGGAAACUGACAAUGAACAGUGUCUUGACCUAGUGACCAAUGACUUUUGACAUUUUGACCCAACGGGUGAACUUGCUCUAAUAGCUUGUAGGGUGACAGUAGAUGCACCAUAAAUGAUAAACUUUAUUUAAAUUUGUUUCAUUAAAUCUCAGCCAUUAGAUUUGAUUUGGAUUGAUCCAAGGGUGACCAAAUGUCUCUUGGUCAGCUACUGACCAAGUAAACAUGCAUGUUUCAAUUAACCAUAUACUGAAAAACCGCAUUCCCAGCUCCAACUUAAAAUUUCGAUUACUCAACAUAUUUAACCUAGCUCUCUCUCUCUCUCUCUCUCUCUCUCUCUCUCUCUCUCUCUCUCUCUCUCUCUCUUCUCUCUCUCUCUCUCUCUCUCUCUCUCUCUCUCUCUCUCUCUCUCUCUCUCUAGAUACAUUCCUAAGUCGCAACAAACUCACAUUUCUCCUCCAAAUCUUCAGCACAACCAUAUCUAAUAGGAUAUAUUUAAGUUGUUUACGACGUUGGUUGUGUGUCUGUGGCGGUAUCGAAUUACACAAAGAUGAUCAGCAAUCUCCAAUAAUCUAUAUGGCGGCAACAAAGACGGCGUUGCUCGCUGCUACUUGACCCACCUAUCCUAGAGCUUCUAAGCGAAAUCCGGUUGUGCACACUCAUUGAGACGCUGAAUCUCGAAAAGACUAAGAUGCUAAAUGAUAAUAUUGAAGAAAUCAAAGAUGGGUCGAGUCGUCAUUUGGAUCAAUGGUUAGAUGCGAUAGGAAUGGGAUGGCAAAGGCAGUGGUGUUUGAGGCAAGGCGACACCAGAUGUUCUUGGGCGAGACGAUCGUCAAGAUGUUGAGGUUCCGGGUCAAAAUGUGUAGAAUUCCAGCGGCAUGGUGGGUGAAGGAGAUAUGGAAGGGCACGACUGUGGGUUUCGAUUUUAUUGUUAGGUUUAAAAUUGGGGAUGAAUUUAGGGUUUGAAAUUGUGAUAUGUUCAUUUUACCUUUCUUAAGGGAUGAAUGACAAAAAAGUGGGUCACCGUGUAUACUCCAACUCAUCACAUAAUGUCACAUUCGAGCCAAACUCAAAUUUUUGACCAGAUUAAUGCAAUUUAGAGGUCGUCGUGAUUAUUAAAAAAAAUUAAAAAAAUACAAUGACUAAACUGAUUUUAACCUUAAAUUUACAGGAAGCUGAAAUUUACACUCUCAAAUUUACAUUCCACACUCCCACUAUCUAGUUUUAAUAUAUUUUAAUACUUCCUUUAUUGCUUUUACUGUUUUACCCCUUAUCUCAUCUUCCUUGCAAUACCCAACAACAAUUAUCAGCUCUUUGCCUCUUUCUCAAUUUCUCAUUCUCAUCACUACCAGUUCAACUAUAUUCAAAGUGGCAAGAGCAAGACCUGCCUCCAAGUCCCAACGAAGCCAUAAAAAAAGCACUCUCAUUACUUCCCAUCUCCUUCUUCUUCUUCUCUUUUGCCUAUUCUUCUUCGAUAAACAACAUCGGCUUCUCCAUUGGUGACCGUCGUAUAAUCGUGAAGCCCUCCACCCUUAUUUUGCUUCAACUCACAUUUGAAUUGCUCUAGAAGUCGUUGACGACUCGACUCCCAAACCUUGGGAACUAGGUUUCUACGGUCGAACCUCUGUGCUCUCAAAGGACUCAGGUGUCUCGCACUUCAUAAAGAAACGAACCAUUUUUGGUGAAUUGGAGAUGAGGAAGAAGAUGAAUCAAGAGUGGAUAUGUAGAUAAAUGAUCAUAAAAGGUUUUCAAUCCUAAAACCCCAGCUCGCCAUUAGACACACCCCACCCCUUCAAUUUCUAUAUUUUUUUGGUCAAAUCAAACCACACCUUCAAGAUCAAUGUUCGAACCAAAGCAUCAAUUUGUUCUUCCCUUAAUUAGCUGAUGAAGCUUGUCUUUCUCAAUUUUCUCCUCCCUUAAUUAGCUGUUGAAGCUAACUUUCAACAUGAAGUGGUGAGGCUCCUUCACUUCUCCGGUAGCCGAAGCUAACCUCUAGGCCGCUUGGUUGCCAGCUGGUUCCUCAACGCCUUGCCUCCAGUGGAUUUCUUAGUAUUUGCUUGAUGCGAGCCAUAUCUGAUCUGAAUAUGACUAAGGUUUUGUGGUUUUCGAAAGAUUGAUCAUAUGCCACCGUCUUUUCUUUUAACGGGAAAAUCAACUGACAUUUUGGCAAAAUCUGAAGUUGAUUUGUAAGUAACUUAAAAUACAUUAAAACUAGAUAGUGGGAGCGAUGAAUGUAAAGUUGGGAAUGUAAAUUUCAGCUCCUGAUUUAAAAGGACUAAACUGAAAUUAAACCAACCAAAAAAAGGGAAAUGGUUGUGACUCACAAUUUGUCGCCUUCAUGGCUUCAUUAGACUAGUUAUGGCACCAUUGCUCUCUCCUAUAGUACUAAUAGUAGUUCUACUUUGUGAUAACUAAUAACUAAUGAAACAAGAUGAGGCUUCCAACCUAUUAACAUUAAGCUCAUAGCUAAUAUAGAUCUCGAAGCUCAAGAUAUUCAACAAUGGAGGAGAGAGAAAAGAGAGAACCUGGAGCAAAAGCUUUCAGAUAUUUUCAAUAGAAUUCAACAUAAUAAAAAUAACAAGGCACACAACAUUUAUAGUUAGGAAAUAAUCCUAACAAAUUAUUACAAGAAAAGGAAAACACGAGAGCAUGGAAUCCAGCUGUCAACCACAACACUGGUCAAUAAGCUCAUGAGUCAACUAUUAUGAAAACGACACCGUUUUCACUCCCCCUCAAUCUCAGCUGGGGAGAGCAAGCUGAGAUUGGAACAAUGAGUCUUGAAAGAAGGAUUGUGCAAGCCUUUAGUAAAAAUAUAUGUUGUUUGUUCUGCUGUAGGCACAUACUUAAGGAGCAGGUCUUGUCUUUGAACUCGUUCUCGAACAAAAUGAAAAUCAUUAUCAAGAUGUUUAAUCCUUGAAUGAAAGACAGGAUUAGAACAAAGAGCUAAUGCAGACAGAUUGUCACACUUAAGAAGAGGAGGAGCAAGAAUUUGAACAUGAAGAUUACACAACACAUGUCUAAGCCAUGAGAUUUCCGCAGCUAUGUUUGCUAAAGCUCUAUACUCAGCCUCAGUAGAACUCCUAGAAACUGACCCUUGCUUCUUUGAUUGCCAAGAAAUUGGGCAGUGACCUAGAAAUACCACAAAUCCUGUAGUAGAUCUUCUAUUGUUUACUUCCCCAGCCUAGUCUGCAUCACAAAAGGCUCUAAUAAAAGGAACACUGUGGCCAUAUUUAUAGAGAAGACCUUUGGACAGAGUACCUUGGAGAUACCUCAAGAUUCUCUUAACUGAAGCAAAAUGAACAUCUGUUGGAGCUGACAUAAAUUGGCACACUGUAUUUAUUGAAUAGGCAAUAUCCGGCCUAGUAAAUGUCAAAUACUACAGAGCACCAACAAUGUUUCUAUAAAAAGAUGGAUUAGACAAUGGAGUACCUUCAUCUUUAAGAAGUUGCACAUGAGGAAGACAAGGUGUGCUACUACAGUUUUUGCAAGAAGAUAAGUCUGCUUUAUCAAUUAAUUCUCUUGCAUACUUCUCUUGAGAGAGAAAAAUUCCACUGCCCUUAUGUUCAACACUUAUCCCUAGAAAAUACGACAAACUACCAAGAUCUUUCAUGUCAAAUACUUCACUGAGUUCUUUAGUAACAUCUUGAAUACCUUUCUUGUCUGAACCAGUAAUUAUUAUGUCAUCUACAUAGAGUAAUAGUGCAACAACACCAGUAGAAGAAAUUCUGAUAAAGAGACUAGGAUCAGAGUGAGAAAAGGUAAACCCAAGCUCUAGGAGCUUGCUUUAAACCAUACACGGACUUUUUUAGUAGACAUAUAUGAUGAGGAAAAUUUGGAUCUUCAAACCCUUGAGGCUGCUGCAUGUACACUUCUUCCUAUAGGUCUCCAUGAAGAAAAGCAUUUUUAACAUCCAAUUGUUUGAGCUCCCAUAUAUUCAUAGCUGCAAGAGCUAGAAUUAAUCUGACUGUAUUGUGCCUCACUACAGGGGUGAAAGUUUCUUCAUAAUCCAGACCUUUCUCUUGGCUAUACCCCUGAGCUACAAGUCUUUCUUUGAAUCUUGAAACUGAACCAUCAGGAUUCUUCUUUAUCUUGUAUCCACUUACUGCCAACAAAAUUUUUAUUUUGAGGUAAAGGAACCAAUUCCCAUGCAUGUACCUUGUUUCUUCAAAGCUGAGAUUUCUUCAUUCAUGGCAUCAUCCCACUCAGGUUUACCUGUAGCACCCUUAAAAGAACUCGGCUCAAUCAAAUCAGAAAGAUGCAUAAUAGAAGAAAAUCCAUUGAAAAAUGCCAACUCAUCAAAAUUUUCUUGCUGAACAAUACAAGAAAAUGCGUAGUAAUCUUCAAAAGAUUUCUUCUUAAUGAUCCCAUUCUUUGCUCUAGUCAGCAUAGAGUGAUUAUUGUAAGCCUGAUUUGGAUCUUCAACAAAAGAUAGUUCAUAAGGAAGAGAAGGAUUAUCACCACCAUUUAUGACUUCAGUACCAUCCACAAGACUUACACCUCUAACAUUGCUUUGAAGACCAUUAUUACUCUAAAAAUGAGUAUUGCUGACAUUCGUAUGACUACAACUAUUAUUAGCAUUGAUGUUACUAUUGUCACUAGUCUCAUUUGUAUUGACAGAAUUCUCAUUUGCACUGACAUUUUCAUCAAGAUUCACAUAUGCAUUAUUUACAACUGGAUUAUGAUCAAAGUGUUCAACAUCUAAUCUUAUAUUAUGAGCACCAAGUCUAACACCCCCCCCCCCCCCCCUAGCAGACACAGAAGGAGAAGCUGGAUGUGACUGAUGAGGAGGUAAGCAUGAGAGUAAAUGAUAUGGAAAAAUAGUCUCAUCAUGAAUAACAUGUCUAGACAUCCAAAUCUUAUUCAAGGCAAUACUGUAGCAGAAGACACCCUUAUAGCCUAAAGCAUAUCCCAAGAAAACAUAUUGAACUAACCUGGAGUCAAGCUUAUCCUUAACAUAAGGCCUUAAAUAAGGAUAACAAGCAGAACCAAAUAUUCUCAUGGAAUUGAGACUGGGAUGAGAGCCAAAGAACCGGAAAUAGGGAGAGACCAUAGCCAAAGACCUGCAAGGCAUUCUAUUGAUAAGAAAGGCAACAUGAGCAACAGAAUGAAACCAAAAAGGUUUAGGCAAUUUGGUUGCAGUCAUUAAUGUAACACAUGUCUCCACAAUAUGCCUAUUCUUCCUCUGAACAACACCAUUCUGCUGAGGUGUGUAAGGACAUGUAACGUAAUGAAGAGCACCUUUGGACUCAAAAAAAUUAGCAAAGGCUUUACUAGUAAACUCUCUUCCACCAUCUGUUUGCAAGCAUCCAAUUGAAAAGUGAAAUUGGGUAUAAACAAAGGCAUAGAACUUCACAAAAGUGGCAAAAGUGUCUGAUUUAUUGAUCAAAGGAUAAAGCCGUACAAACUUUGUGUAAUCGUUUAUGAAUGUUACAUAAUAUAUGUAACCUUCAAGAGACAAACAGGAUGCAGGCCCCCACACAUCUGAAUGAACUUUCUGAAAGGGAGUAGUACAUUGAGUUUUGGAUUCAGUAAAAGGUAGCCUAUGCAUCUUGCCAGACAAACACGAAACACACAAAUGACUAGAUGAGUCUUUAGGAGAUGAAAUCUUAGUUAAGCAUUUUAGACACAACUUCUAAAGAUGGAUGCUCAAGCCUUUGAUGCCAAAGAGAGGACUUCACAACUGAGCCAAUGAAAGCAGUAGCAGACUGUGUUAUUAGAGGAGAUUUGACCAAAAAGAGCCCUUCCUCACUGCUCUUUCCUUGGUAUAGAACAUCCUUUGACACUUUGUCCUGCACACAUAUAUCAGUGUCAUCCAUGACAAUAAAACAUUUAUUGUCUUUACACAACUUGUUAAAAGACAAUAAAUUUACUGCCAGGCUAGGAACAUGUAGAACAUUCUGUAGUUGAAAUGUAUGAGAAGCAGGAGUAAGGCUAGCUGAACCAAUGUGUUUAAUAUUCAAACAUUCCCCAUUUCCAAUGGUGAUUAAGUUGGUGGAUUCAUAAGGGUGAGCAAUUUGGAGAUUUCUGAUAUCUGAAGUCAUAUGAUGAGUAGCUCCUGUGUCACCGAUCCACACAGCAUUAGUACCAACACCAGAGGAUGAAUUACCACCAAAAGUAUGAGUUGACGUUGCUGCAAGGGUUGCAGGAGGAUCAGCACCCUGAUAAGCAUAAUUGCUUCUGUGAGAACAGUCAAGAGCAACAUGACCCUGCAUUCCACAAAUUUGGCACACCACAAUUGGUUUAGAAGGAUUAGAAUCAUCCCUGGAGAAACAAUUUUUGGCAGUGUGACCUCUCUUGGAACAAAGUUGACAUUCAGGAGAGACUCCAAAAAAAGAUCUGUACUCAGUAGAAGAACUUCUGAAAUUAGGAGAUGCAUGAUUAUUGUAGCAGAUACUUGCAAUAUGACCCUUCCUGUGACAAUAUCCACAUUCUAGAUUAGAAUAGCAGUCAUUAGCUAGAUGACCUCGUUUGCCACACUCAUGACACUCUAGAGCACCCUUAGAUUGAAAUCCACCAGAUUGAGAAGAUGACCCUUGAGAAAUUCGAAUUACUCCAAGUCUGUUGUUUGUCACCAUUUCCUGUCCAAACUCCUUUUCCUUUAUCUCUAGAGGAAAAGUUAGAACCAGCUCUGUAAUUACCAUUGUGACUAGUACCUCUAGCUGCCAUAGCUGUUAAACUAUUAGGAAUUGAGAACUGAGCUUCAAUAUCUCUCUCAGCUACCCGUAGUUGAGCUCGAAGAUCUUUAAACGAAAUUAAAGUGUCUCUGGCAUGAAUGAUUGUCUUUAUCAUGGCAUACUCUUCUGGCAGACCAUUGAGAGUGAUGACAAUCACAUCUUCAUCUAGCAUUGAUACUCCCACAGAACAAAGCUGAUCUCUUGCAUGUUUAAUGCGAAGAAGAUACUUGUCAAUAGAAUCACUUCCCUUCUUAAUAGUUUCGAGGUCAGUCUUCAGUUGCAUAAUGCUUGCCCUGGAUACAGAAGAGAACCUCUCUUGAAUAGCAAGCCAUGCCUCUCUAGAAGACUUACUACCUACAAUGAUAUCCAUUAUCUCAUCAUCAAGAGUUGCCAUCAACAAGUUAAGCAAUGCCUUGUCAACCAUCUUCCAUUGCUUGUAAGCUGUUGUCACUUCACUAGUUAUUGAACCUUCUUCAAAUAAAGCAUAGUGUGGAGGGCAAAGAUAUGUUCCAUCAAAAUAACUAAACAGAUCAUUGCCUUCCAAAACGGAUUGAAACUAAAAACUCCAUUUGAUGAAGUUCAACUCUCCAAGUCUCAUAGUGAUCAUGCUUAGCAAAGAGUUAAUCUCAAACUGAGUCACUUUCUUAAUUAUGGUAGUCAUAGUUGCACACUGGAGCAAACACACAAUUACACACUUAAUUGAACUUCACACAGAUAGAGUAUACUUCUACUUUCAACUAAGCAGAUAUUGAAUGACAAGUUGCACAAAUGGCACUGAGUACACAUAGCACAUUUGAUUCUUAGCACAAAACAAAUACACUGGCACUGAUUUUAUACUUUCUGCAAUAGCACACAAUCUUUCACUAUUAGAAACAUAAUUUCAACGCAUCACAACACUAGACACCUCUUUGCACAUCAUAGCUCUUCUUAGAACAACAACUUGCAUAAACUUGAAAAUACCAGACUCCUCUUUGAAAUUACACCACAAUAAGCUGAGAUUCACUAGAAAAGAGUAGUAUCACACUGCAUACUAUAGAUAUGAGAGAAUAGAUGCCAGAUGAAGCUUAACAACAUCACUUCCUUCAAAAAAUAAGCUCUAUUUGCUUUUAAACCUCAAUCGAUUACAGAUCAUCAUGAGUAUACACUACAGAUAUCAUCACAGUAUCGAUCACAAGAGACUCAUAUAUUUUGACCAGAUAUACAAGUUAAUCUACUUCAAAAGACUUCAAUCAACUCAGAAAUGCACAAGGAUUCUUCAUAUUAAGCUUGCGAAACAUGAAUCUACAGCAAUACAAUAGGAUAAAAAAAGCUAGGGUUUCAAAGAAGUAAAAACUAGUGGAAGCAUACUAUAAACUCCAUUAAUGAGUAUAAUCAAGCUUGCAGGAUCAAUAGCCGCAGCUCUGAUACCAUAUUAACAUUAAGCUCAUAGCUAAUAUAGAUCUAGAAGCUCAAGAUAUUCAACAAUGGAGGAGAGAGAAAAGAGAGAACCUAGAGCAAAAGCUUUCAGAUAUUUUCAAUAGAAUUCAGCAUAAUGAAAAUAACAAGGCACACACAACAUUUAUAGUUAGGAAAUAAUCCUAACAAAUUAUUACAAGAAAAGGAAAACAGGAGAGCAUGGAAUCCAUGUCAGGACCCACCCCGAAUUUCACCCUGAAACCCGAAGUAAAUCCUGCGGGGACCACCUCCAAGGAAAGUUUACCGAAAAAUCGGCAUAACCUCCCUUGAAAAUGGACAACCCUUCCUAAUAAUACAUGCAUACACUUCAAAAGAAUCCAUCUAUAACCCUCUCCUCUUGGAGCCUUCGUGCUCCCCAAAUCACAACAUCUCCCAAUUUAUUUACUCACUUUAAUAAGAAAAACUCACAACCAACAAUCACAGGUUCAAAGCAAUUCUAUUUGAGAGGAAAGAAACUAGAAAUAUAAAAAUGAACAUAAGCUAUACUAAUGACUAUGCCUCUUCACCAUGUACGCCCGACCUCAACAAAGCUAACCUGCAUACUGGGCAUUUUUAAAACGAAGGGCUCAGGGGAAAACAUUUGCAAACGUUAGAGUGAGUGAACAAAAAAGAAUUUAAUUAAAAUAUUUAUGUUUUCCCAACUUAAAUUUCCAUAGAAAAUAUGUUGCAUGCGACAGCUUAAAAGCUCUCAACUCAUAAACUGGCAAAUACAUGACUAGCUCUGGCUAGUCUCCAAAACUUAAUAAAAUACAGCCUCUCAGGCUAAACCAUAUAUAUAUGUAUGUAUUUACACUUGUCAUACUCCUUGUAUGAUUUCUUAUGAAGAAAUAUAAGAAAAGUAGAAAUUCAUACAAGGCUACUACGCUUGCGUCUAACGCUCACGUCACACCAUAAUAGAAUUUUACCUCAUUAUGGCGGAAAAGCACGAGUAUAUAUAUACGUGCAUAUUCCCUAUAUAAAUUACUAAAUUUAUAUAGGGUUACAACGAUUGCGUCUAACGCUCACGUCGCGCCAUAAAAGAAUUUUUACCUAAUUAUGACGGAAAAACACGUAUAGCUAGCUAGUAUUUAUUCAUAUACAUAUUAUUCUCCUAAUCAUUCAUAAAUGAAUAUAUAAUUACCGAAAUUCUCAAUUUCGGUUAUUCUUCAACAAAAGAAAUUAUUCAUAUACAUAUCCACCGAAAAUCUCAUUUUCGGUAACUCUCCAAAAAUAAUGAAAAUUGCCAAUUAUAAAUGAAGCAAUAAAUAUAUGACUCCACCGAAAAUCUCAUUUUUGGUAACUUUCCAAAUAGCGAAGUUAACAAAUAAAAUAAGACCAUUUACUUCUAAAAAUAACUUCGCGAAAAUAAACAAUUCCACAAAUUGAUAUUCAAUAAAAUCAUUCAUUUAAUAUGAAAUCACCGCAUGCAACUCACAACUUUAGGCAUAAACCCGACUAUAUCCAAUUCACCACUCAAGUGAAGUCUCCUCAAAUCCUGGCACAAAAACCAUGCUUAGGACCACACUUCAAUUUCAGAAUAAAUAAUACUUAAAUAUAAAACUCAAAACUCUUUCGCCUAACCCACUACCCUUUCUAAGGUUAAGCUUAUCGGAUUCAUGCCAAAAUCCAACCACAGCCUUAUUUCCUUUAUUUCAACAUUCUAAAACAAUAAUAAGGAAAAUCCAACGGUCGGAUUCUACCCCAUUAACCGCCAAAUUCACCAGUCUUUCAAAAAUCUCAAACCUAUCCAAAACUCCUCUAAAAAUUCCACACUUCACAUCAUCAAACUCCCCUCAAUAUUAUACAUUUAAAACCAUGAAAAAUCCCUCUAACAGCGGCGGCCGGCGGCCGACUCCGGCAACCCCAAUGCCUACCAAAAUUUAACAACAUCUUCCUCUCAACCCCCUCUACAACUUUCCUAACUAGCACAAACACAAAUUCCAAGUCUAGAUAGGGUAAUCGAACAAAAUCAUCAAAUGAGCCCUGAAAUUUCCAACACCAAAAUCUCCUUACCUAGACCAAGGGGGAGGGAAGCCUUUGGAGGGAUUCAUGCAAGGGAGGAGAGCUUCCAAACAAGCCAAGCAUCGCCGGCUAUGAUGGCCAGAGGAUAGAGUUCCGACGAAUGGAGCAACCGGCUGCUAGGGGAGUUUCCUCCCUGUUAGGCGGCGUAACCGGCCCGGUCACCAGCCCAGGCGAGGAGAGGCGGCGGCGGCAGUCCAAACGGGACCGGUGCGGCGGCCUGGCUUGGCCGGACGGUGUCGGUUGGAGCCGGAGCAAAUCCGGUAGAGUGAGGGAGAGAGAUAGAGCGUCGGGAGAGAAGAGAGAAGGAAGAGAGAGAAAUGGUUUGGGCUUCCAAACCGGUCAACCCACUUAAAACCCAACUCCAACAAUUUAACACCCAAAAGAAAAAUACUCUAUUAAAAAUUACCUUUUACUAGCUAAAAUUUACCAUUUUUACCGUCGUCACCAUUUCCUCCUACGAGUAAUUCAUCCGAAAUAAUCGUCCCUCAAAAUCCCUCUAGGGACCAAAUAAACUAUAAUCUCAUUGACGAAGACGGUAAAAUUCUUAUUAAUACCAAGCUAGUAAAUAAGGUAAAAAUUUAAGAGUCGGGAUGUGACAAUCCAGUUGUCAACCACAACACUGGUCAAUAAACUCAUGAGUCAACUAUUAUGAAAACGACACCGUCUUCACAACCUUCCACCACCGACCCCGAAGCCUUUGUCAUCCAUAUCAACAGCCAAAUGGGACUAUGGGUUCAUGGCCAAACAUUCAUUAUUCCAACCUCAAGUCUCCUCUGAAAACCCAUGUGUACAACCGCAAUGGACGGACCACUAUCACCAAAGUUCAUAACCGAUCGAUAACCAAGAAAAACAACACCACCUCCGGAGUUUCGAACGUUCAUAACCCAAUGGACAGAGACAAGGGCACAAAGCUUCUCAAUGUAGACAUUAUAGUGAUAUGUAGGAUAGACAACCUAUAUAUGAAACUAUGAAUCACUUAUUUCAAGUCAGCCUGAACAUAGCAUAGUUUGUAGGCUAAAAAGUAAAUGAAAAUAAAUAUCUCUUCUCCUUACCAUGUACGUCGCCAUGAUCCCAAAUAGGAAACUUAGGGAAAACAACGUUCACAACAUUGGUCCAUGCUUGAACCCGCGACCAAGCACCAGUUUCCUUAGACACCCUUGGCCUUAUUUUAAUUAGGCCCUCGUAAAUAGACGUGUCGGGCUGGUUAACGUGUCUAACACUCCCGACACGCCGACACCUGCCCGACACGGCAAAAAAUGUGUCCAACACGCCACAUGACGUGUCCUAAAAAGUUGACUUUUCUGACACGUUUUGGACACGUUAACCAGCCCGACACGUCUAUUUAUGACACAUCAUGUUAGCUUUUCUCACUUACAAAAAAUAAAAAUAAAUAAAUAAAUAAAUGAGCGCAUUAGAGAUCUGUCACACAGUCACAUAUAAACAAAGAGAGGAAAGUCAUAAAACGUCGCAGACGAAGUAAUUAAUCGAUGAAUUCCUUAUUUCCUGCAUAAUUAUAUGAAAUUUUGUGUAUAAUUAUAUUUUAGUAUCUUUUUUAUUUAUUAAAAAUACAUAAAUAUAUAAUUUUGUUUGCCAUGUCGGAAACUCAGUUUUUAAGUUUUACCGUGUUGCCGUGUCGUGUGGCCUUGUCUAUGUCCGUGUCCGUGCAACUUAGUUCUAAUCUCAACAAAAAAUAGCACAUUCUGUUAUGUCUUCCGUUAUCUUGUGUGUUUUCCGUUAAAAUUUGAGAGACAAAUCUGCACUCAUUAAUUUAGCAGUAAUAAAUUAAUUAAACUAAUAAUUACUAAAGAGAG